rnacentral:piRNA from 1 species
GGAAACAGCUCUGCCGCGAGAAAGACUUUA